GGCUUUAUAGUUUAAACAGAAUUUUGAAUUGCAAAUUCAAGGGUAUAUUAGUUAUUAAAGCUU
rnacentral:tRNA from 1 species